UCUCUCGAUUUCUCCCACUUUCUUUCUGAUGGCUCCUGGUUGUCUAUUUACACUUUGAAUUACCCUGUACUCGGUGGCCAAUUUUCUUGACCUCUUCCUCCAUUCUGUGUCCACGCUUUUCAAGUGCAGAUACUCCAGCAUUCUAGUCGCGCAUUUAUUUUGAACCUUAAUUUAAAACAAUUUUGCUCUUCACUUCUCUGACUUCAAAAGAGGCCCAAGCCAUGUUUCCCUGCACUGCCUCAUUUAUGGUUUUGCCGUGGGCUCCCAGUGCCAACCGGCCUACUCAUCUUUGGUUAACUUCCAACCCCGACAACAUAGCCGAUUUUAAGCACGGAAUGGCAUUUGCGAACGUUAGAGCUGCCACCAUUACUCCUUUCCAGAUUUCAAGUCGGAAAGGGAGGGGGAGUUGGAAUGCUCAUCCAUCAGGGAGCCCAAUGCAAUAUAGUAAAUUCAGAAUGUCAAGAGCAUCUUUGGUUAUGAGGUACAAUGAGUGCAAAGAAAACUUGGCUGGGCGUAACGUAUUUGUGGACCUGGAAUAAUUGCACGCAGAAGAAUCAAGAGUUAGUGGAAUGCCUCAGUGCUGAUAUUAAGGGUUUUGGGAAUGAUGCCAAAAUUAUCCUAUUAGAAUAUUGGCUAGCCGGGCUUGUUGGUACGAACACAUUAUUUAGCAAACAGCGCGAAUAAUGGGCACACAGAAAAGGUACACACGACACAGGAGCUAUCCCAUUAGGUAACAUGAAUGCCCACAUACAGGAUCUACAUGGCUAUACCGACAACAACGGAAAGUCAAUGCUAGAUCUUUGUGAGCAACAUAACCUCCUUAUCGUGAACACAGGGCCUUAGUGUGAAGGGCAGACCACGUGGGAAGUGGUAAACCAGCAAUCGACCAUUGAUUAGUGUCUCAUGACAGAAGGAAUCAAAGAUAAGUUGAGAGAAAUGGUCAUUAACGAAGAAGGGUAUAGCAGCAUAAAGAGGGACCACAAACGCAUAAUCUUGAAUAUAGGAUAUGUCGUUGGGAGACAAGGAGUGCAAAAGGGCCAGUCCAAAUUUGAACGCUGAACAAAUAACAAUAUAGACACAAGAGUCGAGGAAGAACUUGGCAAAGGGCUAAGAGUGGUAAUUAGAGAGCUUCUACGUGUAAUAAUGACAGAAAUACGGAAAGACAAACAACAUGUUCGUUGGAAAGGAAAAAAGAAAUCGAAAAGCUGGGGGGACAGGGAGAUACGAGAAGUGAUCGCCGAAUGAGAGAAAGCAUCCCGAGAGCAAAGGCAGGCAAAAAAAGUGUAGUUGCCGCAGGAUGAAGUAGGCAGUAAGUGGGAAAUAUAGCGGGAGAAAAACCUCUAUGGUUCAAACACUGGUGCAGGCAAAUAUAACAGGUGAAAAUGAACAUUGGUUGUCGGAAAUGCGCGAAAGAAAGAAGGCCGCACCUAGAAUACUCUGGAACCACAUAAAAUUAUUUGGCAGGAAGUCAACAACAAUACAACAACAUAUCCUAGACGAAGAUGAAAACAGACUGGAAGGAGAAGCGGCAAUAAAUUACAUCCGAAAAGUAACUGCCGAAUCUUUCCAAGGCAAUGACGAGGUUGUAUUUGAAGAAAAAAAGAACAUGAAAGAGACCUAGGUGGAAAAGGAGCUGGUGCUGACAAAUUUAAACUGGAAGAAAUUGGAAGAGAAAAUUCCUAAGCGCACAGCCACAGGGCUAGACGAGAUUCCCGUUAGGCUGAUAAAUGAACUGGGACCAAAAAGUAAGGAAGCUCUGGUGAAAGCAGUGGAAAAAAUUUUAAGAGAUAGACGAAUACCAGACAGUUGGCGACAAAGUAGAAUGAAUUUAAUUUAUAAAGGUAAGGGGGAGAAAGAUAGAAUUCACUCGUAUAGACCGUUGACCAUUACAUCGGUAAUAUACAGGCUAGCAAUGCAGGCAAUCAAAUUAAAGCUGCAAGCAUGGGCAGAGGAUAAUGACAUGUUGAGAUAACUUCAGAAUGGCUGAGUAGAAAGCAGAGUGAAGAGUAGAAAGCAGACCGUUAUAUGUGGCCUUUUUAGACAUUACAGGAGCGUAUAACAGCGUAGACCGCAACGUUUUGUGGGAUAUUCUGGAAGGGUAAGGCUUAGGCGAUGAUUGCCUACAGCGUUUGAGAGCGAUUUACCUAGAAAAUACCGUUUGCAUUGAAUGGGAAAGGAUGAGCCGCGAGGAGAAAGUUGACAUCAGCAAGGGACUGAGGCAGGGGUACCCUUUAUCCCCACUGCUAUUUAUGAUAUACAUUGUGAGGAUGGAGAUGGCGCUAGAAGGAAGUAAUAUCGGGUUUAAUCUCUCACACAGACAGGCGGGCACAGUAGUAGAGCAGCAGCUUCCAGGUUUAUUUUAUGCGGACAACAUUGUGUUGCUAGCUAACAAGCAAAGUGAUUUGCAACGUCUGGCUAAUAUAUGUGGACAGGAAGGCGAGUAUUUGAGUUUUAAUAUAGUGUUAAAAAUACGGGGUACUGUAUUCAAUGAAAACAGUGAAAAGACAGUGGCAAUACAGGCUCAUGAAAUACCUCGGGUAAAAUAAUAUAACUACCUUGGUAUAUGGAUAAACGAAGGCAAUAGAUAUAUGGAAACACAGGAAAAAACAAUAACAGUAAAGGUAAAGAGAAAUGCAGCCAUAAUUCAACACAGCGCUAUGGGAUACAAUAGGUAAGAGGUUAUCAGGAAUAUGUGGGAAGGUGUAUUGGUUCCAGGAUUUACAUUUGGAAAUGUAAGUCCUCACUUGGGCAGCAGCAGAGGCACAGAAAGGACUCGUCCUAAAGUUCAUUUGUACACUUUACAGAGUGCUGCUUGUCUGGCGAGGAUCCACAGCUGCUGCGACACGUGCGAAAGGGUAGCCUGGGACCGGCUGCGCAAGACGUUGCGUGGAACUAUGAUUCCAUGCCAACUGUCAUCAGUAAUUACCAUUUGCUAAUCUACACGUGCCUAGCUGCCUCGUCAGCAAGUCGUGCCCAGGGGACUCAUCACGUAAGGAUGACGCCCCCCCCCCCCCCCUCCGUCCCGUAUCCAGCAGCUUAUAAAAGGAGGAUUCACCGAAGCUGUCUUCACUUGGGCAGCAGCAGAGGCACAGAAAGAACUCGUCCGAAAGUUUAUUUGUAUACUUUGCAGAGUGCUGCUUGUCUGGCGAGGAUCUACAGUUGCUGCGAAACGUGCGAAAGGAUAGCCUGGGGCCGGCUGCGCAAGACGUUGCGUGGAACUCUCAUUCCGGGCUAACUGUCAUCAGUAAUCACUGUUUCCUGAUCUACACGUGCCACCGUGUUGCUGUUGCCUAGCUGCCUCGUCAUCAAGUCGUGCCCAGAUGACUCAUCACGUAAGGGCGACAACCCACCCCCCUUGCCCGCCUCCAGCAGCUUAUAAAAGAAGUAUUCACCGACGCUGUCUUCACUUGAGCAGCAGCAGAUGCACAGAAAGAACUCGUCCUAAAGUUCAUUUCUACACUUUACAGGUUUGUGAACGGCAUUUCAAGCCCGAGCACAUACGUACAACAUCAAUAUGCACGGACUGCGAUGGAUGGACCAAAUGAGGCUCACCCGGCUUACGCCUGAUGCCAUUCCAACGAUCUUUCCCGACUGCCCGCAAUAUAUUUCGGAUUCUCGCCAGUCGAGAGAAGACCCUGAUGCAAAGCGAACACGUGUGGAGAACGAACAGCUUCAAAGGGCCUUAAAGCAGUCAGCGUUAACACACGAGAACGAGGAACGAGAAAGCAAAGUUAACAACCUCCAAGACAUCAGUUCACGCCUGCACAAGCUAGGAGAGAAAAGGUUUUGGACAGCGGUACCUCGCGACAGCUACAUGAUAUUUGCUCACAUCAAAGUGACAACAGAUGCUCCCGAGAUUUUGGUGUCAGUGACUGUGUCGUCGGAUAUGUCUGUGCGUGUGUUUUGGAGAGGUGCUCGUCUUACAUCUGAUAAGUGUUUUGAGAUCCCGGAUCAUAUCCACGAUUUCCGCGUGCUUGUUGAGCUCUUGGCUAAUGUCGAGGACCACUGCAUUAAAGGGGAACCAGAACAAGUGGACAAAGGAAAGGCUGCACUGAAAUUGGUGAUCUCACUUCUUGAUGACAUUUCAAAAGGAGACCUUCUGGAGGACGAAAAGGUGGGCGCCGUGAUGUCACUCGAAGAGCAGUGUCAUCUCUUCAUGAAGAGGAAUAAUGCUGUUCGGUACUCUGCGGAACUUUUGGUGUUUUGUAGCAUUUUGUAGACUAUGUCACCGCAUGGCUACAAGUUUUUGAGGAACAGUGGAAAGUUAGUGUUGCCUCAUACUGAAACAAUCAAGCGUGUCUGGGGUGCACAUGAUGUUAGUCCUUUAAAGGAGCAAAAUAAAGAGGGCUUCCUAAGAUAAAUUAAAAGGAGGGCAAGUCUGCUGAAAGCUCAUGAAAGAAAUGCAACAUUAAUGGUAGAUGAAAUACACUUACAGCAGUUCUUUGAAUACAAGUGUGGCAGCAUAAGAGGGGCUGCUGCGAACUGUUUUGAACCUGCUAAGAGAGCGCAUGUAUUUAUGGUGCAGUCUCUCCUGUCCCCGGUCAAAGAUAUGGCACACAUCUUUCCACUGUCAAAAAUUACUGCGGAGAAACUGCAUGUAACUGUAAAAAAGUAGUCUUGAGACUUGAAGAAGCGACCCUUCAUAUCGUUGCAGUCAUCACUGAAAAUAAUUCCAUUAAUCGGAAACUAAUGGCUAUGUUCAGUGAGGCCCAGAAGCUCGAAAUUGUUUACCCCCAUCCAGUUAAUCCGCAGCAGCCACUCAUUCAUAUUGUUGACUCUGUGCAUUUGCUGAAAUGUAUCAGAAACAAUUGGCUAAACCAAAAACAUCCUGACAAAUGUCCAUAUUACCCCCUUUUCCCUGUGGAACCACAGCAAGUAAGAAAAUGGAGGGUGCUUCAUUCACAUCAUUCAGAAAGCUUCAUGAGGCUGAACAAACUAACACUGUGAAAGUGGCUUUUGGGCUAACGUAUAAAGCAUUAAAUCCCACAAAUAUUGAGAAGCAGAACGUGAAACUUGCUCUGCAAAUUUUUAACUCUUUUGUUUCAUCUGCUUUGAGCAUAAGAUGCGAAAUUCUGCAUCUGACGCUGGCAGAUGAUACUGCAGAUUUCAUUGACUUAAUUGUGCGAUGGUGCAGCAUCGUCAACAUCAAGACUCCCCUAAGGGGUGUGGAGAUGCGCGACUCUCACGCGUCCCCUGAUACGUUGUUUUCCCGCAUAGCUGCCGUCUCCUGUGAGCCGGCUUCGCCGCGGAGCCUGGUGCCUGCGGCGAUCGGUGUGGUUGAAGUGCAGUACGAGAGAUGGCGCGAGUGUUGCGCUGCUAACGCCGUCUCACGGCAGGGUUACUUGGGUGCGGAAAGGUGAAGACGCUUCCUCUUUGCUUCGGGGUUGGCAAGCUGCGCAGACGUUCCGAGCGUGCGCCGAUCCAUGCUUCUGUGAGACCGUCUCACGACACCUCGUUCGAACGUACCAGCGUUCGCGUGACCGUACGCGCGAACGACCAGGCGUUGGUGUCCAGCUUGGGGCAAACAUAUUCGCUCGCUAUGCGGUCGUGGUGAGUCGGACUUCCGCGAUUUGUCGCGCAUCCAUUGGCAUGUUUUGUGGAUAGCAACUCGGCUAGCAAGCAUUAGUCUAUGAAAGGUGCAAUAAAUGCCCUUGUGAUUGUUUGCACUACUGUGUUGUCGUUCCUUUGUCCCAAGAGCACGGGUGAGAAUCCCACAGGGCAGUCUUGACACAGAGUGAGAGAUGUGUGGCAAGAGCCAGUACGUGAAAUCAAUGGUGAGCAGCUGCAGUUCCUCGACACAUUUGUUACCUGGCUCGAUGACUGGAAAAGUAGGUGUGUGCAUCUAGGUGCGUUGACAAAGGAGACCCAAUCAGCUCUCCGGCUGAGUGAGCUGAGUGGGUCUCCUUGUGUCAAGAUACAGGUGUCAAGAUAUUGUUUGGAGGUGCUCGGGUUUACGUAUGUUCUCCUUGGAAAAUUCCUAACCGAUCCCCUCGAAGCUCGGUUUGGGAAGUACCGGAAGCUGUGUGUGUCCCAUUACAAUGUGUCUAGUGCACAGGUAUUGGAAGCUGUGGCAAAGACCUGCCUCCAGAACACACUGAUCUUGCCAGAUAUGCCAGCAUCCACUGACACUUGCAAAGAGACGUGUGCUGAUAUGUUGAUUGACAAAUAUAACAUAAAGCUAAGAAGCUGUGACCUAAAGAAGCCCGGGAACACAUGCCGGCAUUGGUGUACAUCGCUGGCUACUGUGCCUAUGCUGCUUUGAAGCGCCAGCCUUGCAAUGACUGCUGUGAUUCAUUCACAAUUACUGAGAGAGAGCUUGAACGCAGUGAGCAUGUGCUGAUUGUUAAUAUGAGCAGAGGUGGCUUCAAAUUUCCACAGCCAUGUGUCGUUCAUGUGGUGCUGUGCACCAAGAUUGUGCUAGAACAUAUUACAGGCAAAGAAUAUGAGAUUAUGUUUCAUGCAGAGAGUAAUCAGAGAGUGGCACUUCUAAGUGUGAUAAGUAUUUGCUCUGUGACAGUGAAGACUUUGAAAUUUGUGCAACUGGUCACAGUUAAGAGUCAAUGUUAAAGAACAUCCUUAAUCCAGCAGUAAACACUCUGCUGAAGAAUUACGCAGCCUUCAAAAACGACAAGAUAAACAAUGAAAAGAAUAACGGGAAAAACAGAAAGAUGAUUACCCUCAAAUGUGCUGUUUUCGCGAAUGUGCAUGCUACAAUACAUACAAUAUAAGAACUGUGUGUUAUGUUGUCUUGACUUCUCUGGAAAUUUCUUUAAUUAUUCAGCAUUGUGAGUUCAGCAGAUUUUUCUUCUUAAGCUAGUGAGGAUGAUGUAUGUCAUAUUUUAUUGAUGUGAGUGUUGUGUGUUCGAAUGUCAUUCUGUGAUAGUGGAAACCAGUGCCAAAUAAAAUGUGUGAUAUGAAUUGUACAGCUGUCUGUGACAGACUGAAAAAAGACAUAUGUUUUUCCGGCGCAUCGUCUUUCUGGACCCAAAUUCUGUAGUGCAUUUUAUUUUAUAGGGGCCAUUGUCAGCUUUGCUCCAAAUGCCGAAGUUGACGUGGAAAGAACUUGUCUUAGUUCCUUAAAUCACGCCAGUGCUAAAUUUAUACUGGAUGCAAAUAAAUUCCGAAGGUACACCCUCGAA